rnacentral:rRNA from 1 species
AGAUUGAACGCUGGCGGCAUGCCUUACACAUGCAAGUCGAACGGCAGCACGGGAGCAAUCCUGGUGGCGAGUGGCGAACGGGUGAGUAAUAUAUCGGAACGUGCCCAGUCGUGGGGGAUAACGCAGCGAAAGCUGUGCUAAUACCGCAUACGAUCUAUUGGAUAGAAAGCGGGGGAUCGCAAGACCUCGCGCGAUUGGAGCGGCCGAUAUCAGAUUACGCGUAGGUUGGGUAGGGGUAAAACGCCCUAACCGAAGGUCGACGAUCUGUAGCUGGUCUGGAGACGGACGACCAGCCACACGUAGGAACUGAGACCGACGUACCCAGAC